rnacentral:rRNA from 1 species
GGAGGCAUCCUUGGGAUACCACCCUGAUCGUAUCUAGGUUCUAACUUGGUACCGUGAUCCGGUACGAGGACAGUGUCAGGUGGGCAGUUUGACUGGGGCGGUCGCCUCCUAAAGAGGAACGGAGGCGCCCCAAGGUUCCCUCAGAAUGGUUGGAAAUCAUUCGAAGAGUGCAAAGGCAGAAGGGAGCUUGACUGCGAGACCUACAAGUCGAGCAGGGACGAAAGUCGGGCUUAGUGAUCCGGUG